UACAGAGGUCUCGAGCGUUAGGCGGAAUCACUGGGCUUAAAGCGUGUGUAGGCGGAUUGGUAAGUACCUUGUGAAAUCCCACGGCUUAACCGUGGAACUGCUUGGUAUACUGCCUGUCUUGAGCCAGCUAGGGGCGACCGGAACAAAUGGUGGAGCGGUGAAAUGCGUAGAUAUCAUUUGGAACGCCAAUGGUGAAAACAGGUCGCUGGGGCUGUGCUGACGCUGAGACACGAAAGCCAGGGGAGCAAACAGG
rnacentral:rRNA from 1 species